rnacentral:lncRNA from 1 species
UUUAUGGAGCUAUUUAACAUGAUCUUUACUAGAGAACUUGCAAACACAGUCUUGGGAAAUUAUGGCAGACUUUCCAAAGCCUGUUUACAAUAAAGAAUUUGAAGAGGGUUUCUAAUAAUGAUAUGAUUAAAUCUCUAGAGAUCUCAUCUACCCAAAUAAUUUUAAUAGAGAGAAGGAAAUAUAGCAUUCAUGUUCCAGAAAGGCAGACAGAGCCUGUUCAAGUCAUGGAAAUAGGACUAUUCUGAUAAGUCUCAUCCCUCACUUCCUUUGAUGCCUCAUGAAAAGACUUUUUCCUAAAUAAACCUACACAGUGACCAAUCUACUGCAUUUAAGCCCCUAAAUAGAGCACCAGGCGUAAAUGACAUCACUCUGCACUUGGCCAUGGGUUGCUCAAUUGUUCUUCAUGUUUCCUCUGUACACAUAUAUAUUUGUAUGGAUCAUUAGAUUAUAAUAUCUCCUUGUGAGGAAAUGAGAUCAUGUCUAAUUCUUCUGUUUAGCCCCCAAAUACUUAAUACAGUGGUCUGUAUACAAGCAUAUACUCAAAUAAUAUUCCUGGCCUUGAGGGCCAGGCUUCAAAGCUGUAAGUACAAGAGAGGAAAACUGAAACCUCUUAGCUUUCAUGUGCUCUUUAAGCAUAGAAAACCUUAAGACAGCAACAAAAUCUUUGACUAGUAAAUAAUGAAUCCUAUUUAACAAGUAAGUUCAUGUAUAUCAUAUGCUCUGAAUUUGCACCACCAAAAUCCAGUUCCCAAGAUACUGCUAGUCUGUAUUCCAUUCUAAAUAGUGCUG